CACAUCUUGUUGCUUCGGGGGCGACCCUGCCGCUCCGGCGGCAUUCCCCCCGGAGGUCAUCAAAACACUGCAUUCUUACGUCGGAGUAUAAAGUUAAUUAAAUAAAACUUUCAACAACGGAUCUCUUGGUUCUGGCAUCGAUGAAGAACGCAGCGAAAUGCGAUAAGUAAUGUGAAUUGCAGAAUUCAGUGAAUCAUCGAAUCUUUGAACGCACAUUGCGCCCCCUGGUAUUCCGGGGGGCAUGCCUGUUCGAGCGUCAUUUCACCACUCAAGCCUCGCUUGGUAUUGGGCGUCGCGAGUCUCUCGCGCGCCUCAAAGUCUCCGGCUGAACGGUUCGUCUCCCAGCGUUGUGACAAAUUUCGCAGUGGAGUUCGAGUCGUCGCGGCCGUUAAAUCUUUCAAAGGUUGACCUCGGAUCAGGUAGG
rnacentral:rRNA from 1 species